UUUAUCUGAAAUGCUUAUACUUAAAACAUGAUUUUUUGAAACAUUAAUAUGAAUGAGUCUGCCUUGGUGAAGCAGUAAUAAACGUCAUACUAAGGAAAUUGAAUCUCAAGAGACAUAAUGAAUAUUAAGUACUUGCAGGAAACUCAUCUGUUUUUCCAUUUAUGGACAGAUUUACAUGCAAAGCUUCUACUGAAGCUACUUGUAAGUUAACAUUGACCAGCUAUAACAAUAUAGAAAAUUGGAGUGCUGAAGAAAGUAGCAUUUUCCAGCUGUUAAAAUUUUGCAGGUACCAAAGGCAGAGAAAAUGCCCUCAGAAUUUGCCUUAAUUGUCAACUCCACAAUUAGCUCAGCUGGCAGACUGUUUCCUGCUGGGAACUGGAAGGAGCCUAAGCAUUAUACAGAGAUCAGAAACAAAUACUUUUUAAUAUGGCAACUCUUAUAAAAAAAAAAAAGCACAAGAAAGAAAAAUAAAAAAGCAAUGAAGCAAUGUAGGCUGGACCCCUAUGAUUUUCAAAUAAACAUAAUUUACUUUUAUAUAUUUAAACUUU